GGGAUCUACUAAAUUAAGAAGAGAGAGAGAGAGAGAGAGACCCAUUUUGGAGUUUUGGGUAUUGAUUUUGAAAGUGAAACUUUUUUGAAUGACAAAGUUAUGAGGAUUUUGCCAGGCUUUUGGAAGGAUUUGAGUGGUAGCAGCUCAAAAAAUAGCUUUGGUUUUUCUAUAAAAGAAGAUAAAGCUUCAUAGUAGUAAUAUAAAGGAUUAAUAAAUAGACAGCGAGAUCAAAGCAUACUACAUAUGGCGGUGUUUUGACCAGAAUGGAUCCUCAGCCUUUCAUUAGGCUGUCAAUAGGGUCGCUGGGGUUGAGACUGUCUGGAACAACUACUUUGAACAGUACAAAAUCAGGGAUAAGUGCAGUCUCUUCUCCCUGUGUGUGCGAGAUCCGUCUUCGAGGUUUCCCUGUGCAGACAUCAUCUAUUCCCUAUAUUUCCUCACCUGAAGCUACACCGGAUAUUCACAACGUUGCAUCCAGCUUUUAUCUUGAAGAAUCUGAUUUGAAAGCUUUACUGGCACCUGCCCCCUGUUUUUAUGUGGCUCAUGCAUGUCUAGAGAUAGUUGUUUACACAGGACACAAAGGAGGCCACUGUGGUGUUGGUAUUAAGAGGCAGCAAGUUGGGACAUUUAAGUUGGAAGUAGGUCCCGAGUGGGGUGAAGGAAAACCAGCCAUUCUGUUUAAUGGCUGGAUAGGAAUUGGCAAGAACAAGCUGGAGACUGGAAAACCUGGAGUGGAGCUUCAUUUGAGAGUGAAGCUGGACCCUGAUCCAAGAUAUGUUUUCCAGUUUGAAGAUAAAACGAAAUUAAGUCCUCAAAUAGUGCAGCUUCAGGGAACCAUCAAGCAACCUAUUUUCAGUUGCGAGUUUAGUCAGGACAGGUAAAUCAUUGUUUUGCUAUUUUACCCUUUCCUAGGGAUGAGUAGCGUAUAAGUAGCAAAACAAUGAUUUACCUGUCCUGGAACUUUCUGGAUCAAACUUUCUGUAUGUCCUUCAUACUUACGCAUGUGCUCUCAUGCUGCAUUAUCACAUAAAGGAAACUCAACCUUGCUAUGCUUAUAUAAGUUGACUAUGAUUCACCUAUGAACUUAAGAGAAACUUUCUGAUGUUUACCUGCCCUGCUUGAGUACAACACUGUGUUCAUAUGAAUGCCUUAACUCUUAAUGAGUUUAGAGUGAAUAUGAGAUUGUGAACUUUAAGAGAGAGUGAUCAUGUUACUAGCUUAAGUUGGGAUUAACCUGUCUGUCUGCACAAGUACCCUUGUUAACACUCUUUAGAGAUUCUGAAUGAGGCUGUUAAUUCAUACAUCUAAUAAGAGGAGAAGAUUUAAUCUAUAUGUGUGAACCUCUAAUGAACUUAGACAUAGUUUGAUAAGCUACAAAAUGCUGCAACUCAACCAGGAACUCAUGUAAACUUUAACUAAUCAGUAGAUAUAUGUAUCCUCUUUAUCCCUUAAAUCACAUGAUUUAGUGUUACACUUCUAAACUAGUCUACUGCUGUUCGCCUCUUUUGUUUGAUAUGUGGUUGGAUCCUCUUGAGUAUUCUUAUACAUAUAAGUAAGUGUUGACAGUGUACUACACACAUGUGUUUGGACUGUGAUCUCAAUAAUGUAAUGUGGUCUCUCAUACUCAUAAUGGUACUCUGUAUAGUUUCCGUAAGGGGUGUGCAUACUUGAAUCUGUGUGUUAUUGCUAUUGUUACAUUAGAUGUUAUAGUGAAUGCCUCGUUGACAUUUACACAUAUAGGGAAGAGUGAGUGUGAAUGGUUAAGGGUAUUUAGGAGUAGGAUUUGUUUGUGGUUGAGAUGCCCUCCCUGACACAAGAACUGCUUGGGGUCCCUGAGAUACUUGUGAACUAUGAAGUGCUAGGGAUCCAAAGGGUGUCUUGUCCAUGAAUGCGAUUUUACCUUAAGCUCUUAAUCAUUGACAUUUAUUAAUCUCUUUAGGAUUGGUGCUAAAUGAAAGAAAAGGCUUCACCUUGAAUAUUGUUUUAUUUACUGUAUUUAACUUUACAUUGGCUUUAUUGCAUCCUUAAUUACAACGCUUGUUAUAGUUUUAUUUGGGCCUUACACUGGCCCUAUUGUACCCUUAACUGCAUUUAAAUGUUAUAUUGGGCCUCGUACACUAAUAACUCUCUUUCUUUUGCAUAUGUGUUCGAACUGGGCCUGCCGAGUUCUCAAGAACAUAGACCCGAGUUCCCGCCCAAAGUCCGAGUCACUAAAGCCUGCUGCUGCUGUUCGAUAUCUACUGGGUCUAAUAUUUCUUAGGCCCAAACUAUUUGGUUUGUUCAGAGGCUUGUGUGAAAGGCAAACCCAUGGUUGAGCUUUGAGUUGAUCCUUGGAGCGAGAUCCAGGUGUCGGUACCAGCGAUCAGUAGCAGAGUUGCUUGUUGAGUGGAGUAUUGAGAGACGAGGUAGAGCUGCAUUUCCGGCCGUCUUGACUUGUCUUUUCUUAUGUACUGUUAUUUCAGUUCAUAAGGUAUUGCUAUUUAGUUUUCAGACUUUUAUUCCAUUGUAGAGCUCACGACUCCGUAUUUACCAGUUUUUGGGUGAUUUAUCUUGUAUUAGCAUUAUUUUGUUAUGUUGAGAUUUCAGACUUAUGUUAUUCCUACAAUUUUUGUUA